ensembl:snoRNA SNORD15 Small nucleolar RNA SNORD15
CUUCUGUGAUGAUUCGAUGACGAGACGGAGCAGGAGCUUAUCUGGUUCCGGGGGCGACCGGUUCAGGACCACGUUCUGUGGUUCUGCUCCAGUUCCUCGGAUCCACGGUUCCUUUUCUCGUGAAGACACCGAGGCAUUUGUCUGAGAAGG